rnacentral:rRNA from 1 species
UACGUAGGGUGCGAGCGUUGUCCGGAAUUAUUGGGCGUAAAGGGCUCGUAGGCGGUUUGUCGCGUCGGGAGUGAAAACACACAGCUUAACUGUGUGCUUGCUUCCGAUACGGGCAGACUAGAGGUAUGCAGGGGAGAACGGAAUUCCUGGUGUAGCGGUGAAAUGCGCAGAUAUCAGGAGGAACACCGGUGGCGAAGGCGGAUCUCUGGGCCGAUACUGACGCUGAGGAGCGAAAGCGUGGGGAGCGAACAGG